rnacentral:rRNA from 1 species
GACGAACGCUGGCGGCGUGCUUAACACAUGCAAGUCGAACGGAAAGGCCCUGCUUUUGUGGGGUGCUCGAGUGGCGAACGGGUGAGUAACACGUGAGUAACCUGCCCUUGACUUUGGGAUAACUUCAGGAAACUGGGGCUAAUACCGGAUAGGAGCUCCUGCUGCAUGGUGGGGGUUGGAAAGUUUCGGCGGUUGGGGAUGGACUGGCGGCUUAUCAGCUUGUUGGUGGGGUAGUGGCUUACCAAGGCUUUGACGGGUAGCCGGCCUGAGAGGGUGACCGGCCACAUUGGGACUGAGAUACGGCCCAGACUCCUACGGGAGGCAGCAGUGGGGAAUAUUGCACAAUGGGCGGAAGCCUGAUGCAGCAACGCCGCGUGCGGGAUGACGGCCUUCGGGUUGUAAACCGCUUUCGCCUGUGACGAAGCGGGAGUGACGGUAAUGGGUAAAGAAGCACCGGCUAACUACGUG